rnacentral:rRNA from 1 species
GAUGAACGCUGGCGGCGUGCCUAAUACAUGCAAGUCGAGCGAACGGACGAGAAGCUUGCUUCUCUGAUGUUAGCGUCGGACGGGUGAGUAACACGUGGAUAACCUACCUAUAAGACUGGGAUAACUUCGGGAAACCGGAGCUAAUACCGGAUAAUCUUUUGAACCGCAUGGUUCAAAAGUUAAAGACGGUCUUGCUGUCACUUAUAGAUGGAUCCGCUCUGCAUUAGCUAGUUGGUAAGGUAACGGCUUACCAAGGCAACGAUGCAUAGCCGACCUGAGAGGGUGAUCGGCCACACUGGAACUGAGACACGGUCCAGACUCCUACGGGAGGCAGCAGUAGGGAAUCUUGCGCAAUGGGCGAAAGCCUGACGGAGCAACGCCGCGUGAGUGAAGAAGGUCUUCGGAUCGUAAAACUCUGUUAUUAGGGAAGAACAGAUGUGUAAGUAAAUGUGCACAUAUUGACGGUACCUAAUCAGAAAGCCACGGCUAACUACGUG